rnacentral:snRNA from 1 species
GUGUUCACUCAGGCAGCACGUGAAACAAAGCAGAGGUGAUUCAUGUGGUCCCUGUGAGCACACAAACUUGUGACACAUCCCAUAUUUUU